ACCACACACAAAGCACACGACAUAGACAACUAGUUGAAUUGGUGGAAAGGAGGAGCAAACUCAGAACCCCAGGGCUAAUUCGCGAGACGAAUCUAAUGAGGUACUGGUUUCACCAGGAUCUAUUACCAGAGAAGCAUUAAUAGCGGGAGGAAUACUCACUAGUCAAGGCAAGA